rnacentral:rRNA from 1 species
GACGAACGCUGGCGGCGUGCUUAACACAUGCAAGUCGAACGGAACGGCCCUGCCUUUGUGGGGUGCUCGAGUGGCGAACGGGUGAGUAACACGUGAGUACCCUGCCAUUGACUUUGGGAUACCUUAAGAAAACUGGGGCUAAUACCGGAUAGGAGCUCCUGCUUCAUGGUGGGGGUUGGAAAGUUUCGGCGGUUGGGGAUGGACUCGCGGCUUAUCAGCUUGUUGGUGGGGUAGUGGCUUACCAAGGCUUUGCCGGGUAGCCGGCCUGAGAGGGUGACCGGCCACAUAGGGACUGAGAUACGGCCCGGACACCUACGGGAGGCAGCAGUGGGGAAUAUUGCUCAAUGGGCGGAAGCCUGAUGGAGCAACGCCGCGUGCGGGAUGACGGCCUUCGAGUUGUAAACCGCUUUCGCCUGUGACGAAGCGUGAGUGACUGUAAUUGGUAAAGAAGCACCGGCUAACUACGU